CUGGUAGCACUUACCACCAACAGAUGUGCAUUUCUGUUUCUUUCUCUCUAGCCCAUCUCUCUAAUAGGAACCUGAGCUUCCAGAGCAAGGCUUAUCAUCUGUGUUUUCAUGGCUGAGUUCCAGAGCCCGCAACAGGGCCUGAUGUGUGACAUCGACAAAGGAAACUGUUGUCAAAUGGAUUUUUUUUUUUCAAGCCAAUUCUUAGGUACGCUCUCAAUCUAGAAAGGGCAAACGAAGGACCAGGGAGAUGGCUCAUCAAGUACAGGCACCACCACCAAGCCUGACAACCUGGGUCUAAUUCCAGGAUACCACAUAACAGAAGGAGAGAAUCUGACCUCUGCAUAUGUAGCCUGGCACCUGUGCGCACACACACACACACACACACACAGACACACACACACACACACACACACACACAUGCAAAUAAAUAAAUAAAAUUGAUCUAGUUUAAAAAUAAAAAUGUUCCUGGUGAGUACAAAAUGAUCCAUAUGCCCAAAGGUAUGUGAUUACUUAGGCUGUCGAAGGAAGCAGUUUUGUGUGUUUGUUUUGUGUUUUGAGACAUGGUCUCACUGUGUAGUCCUUGGCCGGCCUGCACUUCACUAUGUAGGUGAGGCCGGCCUUCGCCUUCUGCUUCAUGAAUGCUGGUCUGCAAGGGGUAUGCCACCACAAACCUUUUGGUUUUGUUUUCGCCAAACAUUUUGUUUUGGUUGGAUGUAAAAAUAUGAAAACUGAUGCUGUGGACACCUGUGACCAGUGAGUGCCACUGUUCACUUUGAAUUUUUGUUUUGUUUUCUUUCUUUCUUUCCUUUCUUCCUUUUAAAAAAUCUUUUGUGAGUGUGUGCAUGUAUGUACGUGUGUGUUACUAUGUGGGGUUGGGAGCACAGAGGACGGAUCCUUGAGUGUCAUUCCUUAGCUGUCCCUCCUCCUUAUUUAUAAAGACAGGGUCUCUCAACUAGGUGAAACAUGUUUGUAAUCUUAGCACUUGGGAAGCAGAGGCAGGGGGAUCUCUGUGAGCUCCAGGCCAGCUUGACUCACACAGCAAGUUUUAGGCCAGCUAGCUCUACAGAGUGAAAACAUGUCUCAAAAAACAAAAACAAAAGAAAGACAGGAUCUCUCACUGGCUUAGAACUCAGCAUUUGGGCCAGACUGGCUGGCCAGUAAGCUCCAGGGAUCAGUCUGUCUCUGCCUCUUCAGUGCCGAGAGACACGUGGCACACCCAGCUUUUUAUGUGGGUCUUGGAGAGCCAAACUUAGGUUCUUCUGCUUGCAUAGUAAGCAUGUUACUGAAAAACCAUCUUCCCAGCUCCUUAUUUUGUUGUUUUUAGAUAGUCUGUUGAAAUAUAACUCUUAUAACCAUACAAUUCACACAUUGAUGGUUUGGGAGUUUUCACAGUUACAACUUGCAACUGUCGAUCUGGGCUGAACCAAAAUUUUCUUUAGUCUAUGUAGCCAAAGAAAUGCAAAUUCAGAGGCUGGGGAGAUGGCUCAGUGGGUAAAGUAUCUGCUGUGUGGGCGUGAGGAUUGAGUUUAGAUGUCCAGAAAUCACAUCUUUAAAAAAGAACAUCAAACUGGGGCAGAGGUGUGCCCUUGUUAAGCGAGUGUGGAGAAGCAGAAACAGGAGAAUUUCUUUCCAGCCAGAUCAGCCAGUCAGUGAAGUCCAGGUUCUAGGAGAUCCUGACUCAAAAAAUAAGGUCAAGAGAUCGGGGAAGCUAUCCAGUGUUGACCUCCGCCUCCAUGUGUCUACACACAAACACACACAUACACACAAACACACAAACUCACACACCAGAGAGAGAGACAGAGAAAGAGGGAGAGGGAGAGAGAUAGAGAGAGAGCUCAGAGAGACAGAGAGACAUUAAAGAAGUUGCAAGACAAAUAGUCCUAGGUGUACAGAGAGGGAAAUUGAGAGAAGUGAGGGAAGGUGAGCCCAAGGGAAGACGCCAACAGCUUGGAGUCAGCUCACAGCUUCCUCCGGUGCCGUCUCUGAGUGCCUAAAGAGCUGUCCACAGGGAGGAGUUACAACCUGCCUUUGAAGGAAGAAGGAGAAAAUCUCACAUCUUUGCAAACCUCCGCCAGCAGAAGGCUCUCUGCUUCUUGUCUUCAGGGCAGUAAUCUUUGCGAGAGGCUUGCAGUUUCUUUCACUUUUCAGGUGUUUGCAGUAAGAGCCACCACAUCCCCAGUCCGCUGAAGAAGAAACUGAGGCUGCUAAGUAACAGGAAGAAAUUGGUACUACGAACACACAGGUUCCCCACUGUGCUGGUUGUCUUGUCACAGCACCAACUGACCCUGGGCUGAACCUCUAAAACUGAGUCAAAAGAAAUCUUCUCACCUUAUAGGUGAAGGUCUCAGGUGUUUAGCACAGUAUCAGAAAGCUGACUCCUAAGUCCCCUUCCCUUGGGUGGCUGCGCCCAGUCCUGGAGGGAGGGGAGUGCAAGUGAACAAAGACCCCGGGAAGAAUCAACAUGCAGAAUUCUAGUCAUGGCCAUCUGUUUGCUCACCGUCACAUGGGCGCGAUGGACACGGACCAAAGACAACUCCACGAGAGGCAUUUUUAAAUUGGCCUCAAACCCUUUCUGGAAUCCAUGUAUCUUCUCCCUCAUGGCUUUAAUGGUAAGAGAAUUCCAGAAGCCUGUAAGUAACACUGUUUACGCUGUUUGAAUCAGAAAGUCACAGGUGGAAAACAAUUUGACUCAACGUAAAUAGCUUGAGGAGGUAGCUGUAAGCUCAAGGUAUAGCAUUUGGAACUUCCCCCAGCUAAGUGCAAAGGUCACCAGGAACGUGGGCUUUCACCAGGGUGGUGGCUAGCCAGAUAAAGACAGGUAGCCCGAAUCACACAGGGAUGCUCAAAGGAGGUGAAACAAGCCGGGUAUGUAAAGACAAAGACUAUUCCACUUUUGUCUGAAAUAGUCCACUUCCCCAUCCACAGACUCCAAGACUGGCAUGCUGAUUGCGAAGGGACUGAGGUGAGGAAAGGGAGCAUUUAUUUACUGAUGUCCAUAAAGUUUGAGUCAAGGAAGUGAAGAAGGUUCUGAGCUGCUCUACAGCCCCAUACCUAUGGCCAACAGCACUUUGUGGGCACUAGAAAAUGUGUUAAGAGGGUAAAGUUCAUUACAUGUGCUCUACCAAAUAAAAAUCAAAAUUUGAAGUAAGAGGUAAGUAGAGUGAAGAGAAGGAGGCAGGGGUGGAUGAAGGAAAGAGGGAGAAAGGGAAGAAAGGAGGAAAGAGAGGCAAGAAAGAAGGAGGAAGAGAAAGAAGAAUAAAGGAAGUGAGGAGGAAGGGAAAAAGAGAGGGAGAAGGAAGCAAUGGAGGAUGGGGAGAGGGAGAGAGGGAGAAGCUGGAAGGGAAAGAAAAGAAACAGAAAGUAUUUGUACGCUGCAGCUUGUUAGAACCCACCUCCAGGGCCCCACUCUGAGGGGCCUACACUCAGUAGACCUACACUAAGGCCCACAUUUGCAUUUCUAAGCCCCCUGCACCCUCUGCUCCUGCCUGUGAUGCUGGUCUGAGGCCUCCUCCCUAACCAAGUGCUCUUUGGCAAAAGCAGCAGGUGAAAGUGUCAGAGUCAAGUCUGAACCCUGGCCCCCUUGAGUGAGGCUAAGUUGGCAAGUUCAGGGCCUGCUCAUUUAUGCCUGGGUGACUGUCACACUGCACACCUUGACAAGCUGUUUAGAAAGAAAGAAAGAAAUCAUGUCAAGUCCAAGGCCUUGAGCGGGCACUCUGUAAAAACAAACAAACGAAAACCACAGGAUGCUAUUCUUGUCCCUGUCCUGAGGCAUCUCCACAACUCAUGGCUGUUUGGAUCAACAUUCAAGACAAGCAUCAGCAUGGCUCAGGAGUCAUGAGGAGGUUACUGAAUUGGUUACCUCCCCACCCUCUCUUCCUCCUCUUCAGAACAUCCAGGCACCGAAAUAGGCCUCAACACCCACCGAGGCACUGCCAGGGAUGACAUUUCCGAGCGGAGGAGAGAACUGAUCACUUUCAAAUUUGAUAUUAUUUUUGAGUACUUUAAAAUCUGGGUCAGGAUGAAACCUGAACUUGUGCUUACAGCCUGCUACAGCUGGAAGGAAACUUUGAAACCAUCUAGUUUUCUCAUCAAAGGUGAGGAAACGGGGGCCCAGAGAGGGGCAGCAACUUACAGAAGGAGGCACAGCAAACUGCAUGACAAGUGCAGGUCUGGCAGUAGCGAGUUCUGCCUGGACGCUAGAUGGUGUGCUGGCUGGAUGUGUCAGCUGGACAGAAGCUCUAGUCCUUAGAGAGAAGAGAGCCUCCCUAAGAUCAAGCUCUAGGCAAGCCUCUAGGGCAUUUUCUUAAUUGGUGACAGAUGGCAGCGGUGGGGAAUGGGGAGGGAGCAGCCCGUGGUGGGUGGAGCCAUCCCUGGGCUGGUGGUCCCGGGCUCUUUAAGAAAGCAGGCUGAGCAAGCCAUGGGGAGCAAGCCAGUAAGCAGCGCUCCUCCAUGGCCUCUGCUGAUGCUCCUGCCUCCAGGUUCCUGCCCUGUUUGAGUUCCUGUCCUGAUCUCCUUCAAUGAGGGACUGUGAUGUGGAAGUGGAACAAACCCUUUCUUUCCUAAAUUGCUUUUGGUCAUGGAAACCUGGAUCAGUGGGAAGCGCCAUAGUUUCUAAGUAUGCUGAGUCCCCAAAUUAAGGUACUAAAUCUAUUUCCCUAGAAGAACAGAUCAACAUCAGGAUUUGCAGAGGCUUGCAGUUUAAGAGAUUUGCAGGAGGGUGAGGUGGGCACUGUAGACACAGUCCAAGGUCCAGUGAGUUCUAAGCACAUGUAUACAUUGAAAACUGAGCUAUGCCAUCCAGCACAGGAGGACUUUUUUUUUUCACCAAUGAACAGCAUUUAUUAAAAGCAAUGGCUCCAUACCAUGUCACUUCCCUUCUUAAUUUGUUUUUCUUUUCUGGUGGGUCAGGAACCCGGCCAUUUUUUCCCCCUAAUUCUUCUACUUCCUGACUCAGGCAGGCCCUUCCUUUCCCUCCCUGUCUUCUUUCAUUCUCUAACACUUUACCCCAAAUCAGAAAGUGCUUGCUUCAUGCCCAGGGCAGAUAAACAAACUAAAGGCAGGUCUAUGUUCUCUUUUUUUUUGUUUUGUUUUGUUUUGUUUUGUUUUGUUUUGUUUUGUUUUGUUUUGUUUGGUGGUUUUUCUUUCUACCAUUAGCCAAUGUUUAUGGAAGCCAACAACUUCGAAGCACCUAGGAACUGCUUCUGUGCUUACAGAAAGCCCCUUUCAGCAAGCGUGUUGUGUGUGCCCACGUUCUCUGGAACCCCGGGCAAUGCCAGUGAUUCAGCGAAGAACGAGACUGACACAGUCCCUGCCAUUGGGGUGCUCACGCUGGCUUCUGAGAGAUGGCCGAACCCUCGGGAGAGUCUCAGCACCUGCAGCAGGAGCCCGGAUGUGCCAGCUCACACAAGCCUGUAGAAGUCUGCCACGAAUUUUGGGGGGGAGGGGCGCACGGGGGGGAUACCUUUCCAAGCUGGUGAUUAACAGAGUCAGUAUUAGAAAUUAAGCCACAUGAAAAGAAAUGAUAUUAAAAACGGUGGAUGUUCUUUUACUUGUGUGUAUAUGUGUGGGUGUGCAUUCAUGUGUGUUUGCAUGUCCAGAUAUGUAUGGGUAAACGCGUGGGCAUGAGGGUCAGGUGUCUCCCCUACUCUUCCUUUUUUAAUUGUUGCAGAAAGAUCUUAUCCUGAACCCAGA